rnacentral:rRNA from 1 species
CCUACGGGGGGCAGCAGUGGGGAAUAUUGGACAAUGGGGGGAACCCUGAUCCAGCCAUGCCGCGUGUGUGAAGAAGGCCCUCGGGUUGUAAAGCACUUUCAGUGAGGAAGAACGCCUGGUGGUUAAUACCCAUCAGGAAAGACAUCACUCACAGAAGAAGCACCGGCUAACUCCGUGCCAGCAGCCGCGGUAAUACGGAGGGUGCGAGCGUUAAUCGGAAUUACUGGGCGUAAAGCGCGCGUAGGUGGCUUGAUAAGCCGGUUGUGAAAGCCCCGGGCUCAACCUGGGAACGGCAUCCGGAACUGUCAAGCUAGAGUGCAGGAGAGGAAGGUAGAAUUCCCGGUGUAGCGGUGAAAUGCGUAGAGAUCGGGAGGAAUACCAGUGGCGAAGGCGGCCUUCUGGACUGACACUGACACUGAGGUGCGAAAGCGUGGGUAGCAAACAGGAUUAGAUCCCCGGUAGUC